rnacentral:lncRNA from 1 species
AGUUUGGGCACCUCCUGAACCCGUACGUCAUCCGUUAUGGUCCCCACAGCCACAGCCUUUCUGUUUUCCCGGUCAGGAAGCUUUAUGUUCUGGAUCAUCCAGGAGAGGGACAGAGGUGGUCGGUUGGUGCGACUCAUAAACAACCUCUUCAGCACAACCUGGUUGAAUGUGGAGUUGUUCCGUCUGACCAGAAACCUGUACAGUUUGACCAACAGCCUCAGGGUGUUGGUGUCCCUCUGUUGCCCAGGCUGGAGUGCAGUGGCAAGACUGGCUCACUGCAACCUCCACCUCCUGGGAUCAAGCGAUCCUCCCAUCUCAUCCUCCAGGAGCUGGGACUAAAGAAAGAGAAAUUGAUCAGAAUCUACUGACAGUUCUUCCUGUCUGGCUGUGUAAUGGAUUAGCAUAGAGACGAGCAGCACACCUCUGUCAGAAAACCUAAAUUUAAGUCACAUCUCGGGGCUCUAACAAUUUACCACCAACAGCGUCUUUGGAGCUCUGAAGAAGAUCCUGAUUUUCUCAAAAACAAGUCAUUGAGUUCUACACUGUAAAGCAAGACAUGGAUUACUACAUCCUAUAUUUUA